rnacentral:rRNA from 1 species
GAUGAACGCUAGCGGCAGGCCUAAUACAUGCAAGUCGAGGGGCAGCACGAUCGCUUGCGAUUGGUGGCGACCGGCGCACGGGUGCGUAACGCGUAUGCAACCUACCCAUUACUAAGGGAUAGCCCAGAGAAAUUUGGAUUAAUACCUUAUGGUAUGCAGGACAAGCAUUUGUUUUGCAUUAAAGAUUUAUCGGUAAUGGAUGGGCAUGCGUGCCAUUAGCUAGUUGGUAAGGUAACGGCUUACCAAGGCUACGAUGGCUAGGGGUUCUGAGAGGAUGAUCCCCCACACUGGCACUGAGAUACGGGCCAGACUCCUACGGGAGGCAGCAGUAGGGAAUAUUGGUCAAUGGGCGAGAGCCUGAACCAGCCAUGCCGCGUGCAGGAAGACGGCCUUCUGGGUUGUAAACUGCUUUUAUCAGGGAACAAAAAGCCCAUGCGUGGGAAAUUGCGUGUACCUGGGGAAUAAGCACCGGCUAACUCCG